rnacentral:rRNA from 1 species
UACAGAGGGUGCAAGCGUUAAUCGGAAUUACUGGGCGUAAAGGGCGCGUAGGCGGAGUAUUAAGUUAGAUGUGAAAUCCCUGGGCUUAACCUGGGAAUGGCAUUUAAUACUGAUAAUCUAGAGUAGAGUAGAGGGAAGUGGAAUUUCCGGUGUAGCGGUGAAAUGCGUAGAGAUCGGAAGGAACACCAGUGGCGAAGGCGGCUUCCUGGACUCAUACUGACGCUGAGGCGCGAAAGCGUGGGGAGCAAACAGG